rnacentral:rRNA from 1 species
ACGCUCGACACCUACGGAGGCAGCAGUGGGGAAUAUUGCACAAUGGGGGAAACCCUGAUGCAGCGACGCCGCGUGAGCGAAGAAGUAUUUCGGUAUGUAAAGCUCUAUCAGCAGGGAAGAGACUGACGGUACCUGACUAAGAAGCACCGGCUAAAUACGUGCAAGCAGCCGCGGUAAUCUGAGCGGGCUGGCAAGGC